GCUGAAUGGAGCCGAGCUGGUGCUGAACUCUUGGCACAUGGAAGCAGAUGCCCCUAUUGGAUCAGUCCAGUGCUAGAAAGUGAUUCGUCCUGGGAGGGUGAGUGCAUCUUAUCACGAUCUGAAGACUUAAUGUGGUCAGACAAAGGAGGGAGACAUGGGUGUUGUCCAGAUGCUCUUCGCCGUCUCGUCUGGGGAGAGUCCAGGGCUCACCUUCUUUCCUAAUGGAAUUGCACUGUCACACCACACAUCCUCGCUAAGUGAUCACCAGGCUUACGAGAGGCUAAAAGAAAAUGAGCUAAUCUCAUCUAACUCACACAGAAAACUUCAAGAGGGUGAGUACCACAAAGAGGAAGUCAG
ensembl:lncRNA